UUUCCGUAGGUGAACCUGCGGAAGGAUCAUUAAAAAAUGUGGUACCAUUUGUGGUACUAAUUAAUCAUCCUACCCUCUGUGAAUUUGUUUGUAAUGAAUUUUUUUAAAUGGGUCUUUCCCUAAGUUGGAUUGUAGUAAAAAUACAAAAAGACUUAGAGGAAUGACUUUUUUAAAAGACUUUUUUUUAAUUAAAACUUUUUGUAUUCAUUUGUCUAAAAUUUAUUUUUAUAAUAUAAAAACAACUUUUGACAAUGGAUCUCUUGGUUCUCGCAACGAUGAAGAACGCAGCAAAAUGCGAUAAGUAGUGUGAAUUGCAGAAUACGUGAAUCAUCGAAUCUUCGAACGCAUAUUGCACUUUUUUAGUUUACUAAAAAAGUAUGUCUGUUUGAGUAUCAGUAAAAUAUUCUCACAAACAAUAUUGUUUUUGUGGUUAUGAGUGUUUUACAACGAUAAACAAGUUGUUUCACUUUAAAUUCUUUUUAAUUGAAUUUUACCAAUUCAUAAAUUAAAAUUGGAUAAAAUUUUCCUUUAACGAGGAAUAACCUAAACAAUUUUAAAUUUUAUGGAUUAAUAAACAUUCAUCAAAGGAAUCUAAUUAUACAACAAUAACUUGAUCUCAAAUCAGAUAAGAGUACCCGCUGAACUUAAGCAUAUCAAUAAGCGGAGGGAAAGAAACUAACAAGGAUUCCUUAGUAACGGCGAGUGAAGCGGGAAGAGCUCAAAUUUGAAAUCUUCAAGGUUUGACCUUGACGAAUUGUAGUUUAUAGAAGUGUUUUCUGUUGGAGUUUUGGUAAAAGUUCUUUGGAAUAGGACAUCAUAGAGGGUGAGAAUCCCGUACUUGACCAUGACUUUCCAGCUGUGUGAUACACUUUCAAAGAGUCGGAUUGUUUGGGAAUGCAGUCCAAAAUGGGUGGUAAAUUUCAUCUAAAGCUAAAUAUUGGCGAGAGACCGAUAGCGAACAAGUACCGUGAGGGAAAGAUGAAAAGAACUUUGAAAAGAGAGUUAAACAGUACGUGAAAUUGUCAAAAGGGAAGCGUUUGACACCAGUGUUGUUUUCUCGAAAAUCAAUUUAAUGAGUUCUUGUUUUUAAGUUAUUGUGACUUUAUCAGCGCAUUUCUUAUUUUACUUGACUCAUUGAAUGCACUUUUCGUUUAACAAGUCAACAUCAAUUUCUUUGGUGGUAAAAAGUUUAAAGAAGGUGGCUUGGACUUCGGUUCAAGUGUUUAUAGCCUUUUUUCUAUGCCAUCGGAGAGAUUGAGGUCUGCAGCGUAGAUCCUUCGGGUUAGAUACCUUUGUGCUAAGUUAAUAGUUUUUUAUAGACAACUUGUUGACUAUAAUUAACCCUGUAAUUUACUCGCUUAGGCUAUUUACCUACGCUUAGGAUGUUG
rnacentral:misc_RNA from 1 species